AGUGAACGCUGGCGGCAGGCCUAAUACAUGCAAGUCGAACGGCAGCACAGCAGAGCUUGCUCUGUGGGUGGCGAGUGGCGGACGGGUGAGGAAUACAUGGGAAUCUGCCCAGUCGUGGGGGAUAACGUAGGGAAACUUACGCUAAUACCGCAUGCGCCCUUCGGGGGAAAGCCGGGGACCGUAAGGCCUGGCGCGAUUGGAUGAGCCCAUGUCGGAUUAGCUAGUUGGCGGGGUAAAGGCCCACCAAGGCGACGAUCCGUAGCUGGUCUGAGAGGAUGAUCAGCCACACUGGAACUGAGACACGGUCCAGACUCCUACGGGAGGCAGCAGUAGGGAAUAUUGGACAAUGGGCGCAAGCCUGAUCCAGCCAUGCCGCGUGAGUGAAGAAGGCCCUCGGUUGCAAAGCUCUUUGUCCGGAAAGAAAAGACGCCGGGUUAAUACCCUGGUGUCCUGACGGUACCGGAAGAAUAAGCACCGGCUAACUUCGUGCCAGCAGCCGCGGUAA
rnacentral:rRNA from 1 species